GACGAACGCUGGCGGCGUGCUUAACACAUGCAAGUCGAACGGUAAGGCCCUUCGGGGUACACGAGUGGCGAACGGGUGAGUAACACGUGGGUGAUCUGCCCUGCACUUCGGGAUAAGCCUGGGAAACUGGGUCUAAUACCGGAUAGGACCAUUGCCUGCAUGGGUGGUGGUGGAAAGCUUUUGCGGUGUGGGAUGGGCCCGCGGCCUAUCAGCUUGUUGGUGGGGUGAUGGCCUACCAAGGCGACGACGGGUAGCCGGCCUGAGAGGGUGACCGGCCACACUGGGACUGGGAUACGGCCCAGACUCCUACGGGAGGCAGCAGUGGGGAAUAUUGCACAAUGGGCGCAAGCCUGAUGCAGCGACGCUGCGUGAGGGAUGACGGCCUUCGGGUUGUAAACCUCUUUCAGCAUCGACGAAGCGCAAGUGACGGUAGGUGCAGAAGAAGGACCGGCCAACUACGUGCCAGCCGCCGCGGUAA
rnacentral:rRNA from 1 species